AAAGUCGUAACAAGGUUUCCGUAGGUGAACCUGCGGAAGGAUCAUUAGAGAGAAUUUGCCCACUGGGUAUAUCUCCCGUCCUGAAUACCAUACCUGGUUGCUUUGGCAGACAAUUAUUUGCCUGCCAGAGUUCUUAUCAUUCUUGUAUUUAAUUAUGUCUGAGAAAUAUAUAAUAUUUAAAACUUUCAACAACGGAUCUCUUGGUUCUG
rnacentral:misc_RNA from 1 species